rnacentral:misc_RNA from 1 species
AAAAGAUAUGAUCUGAUUGGACAUGGGAGGGGAUUAUUAGAGUAUAAGAUUGGAUCUCUGUUUGUCAGAGAAAAUAGGGAUUGAUCACAAAAAGUUUUAGAUCUUCAGUGUAGUAUACCCUGUAUGUAUGGCUGAUAUGAUUGAGCAUAUUGUCACCUGUUUGUGUUGUAAGCUGUUAUUGUAAGAGUUAUCUCACUGUAUAUCAGUUUGAUCUUACGAGG